GAGAGUGGAUUAAAAAGGCAAAAGAAAAGUGAGAAAAAUGUUAUAAAGGAAAGCUAUCUUUUAUGCUACCAAUAAUCACAUCCUAUAGCACACUAAUACAAUAAAAAGAGGAAAAUUUAUAAUUUAAUAUUGACUUAUUCCAAUGGAAUCAGAUAUUAAAAUAUUUGCUUCAUUUUAAAGAGAUGUAAUAAUAUAAUUUGUGCAGUUUUUUUAAUUUUUAAUGUUUAGCCAAUAAGAUAGAACCUAAAACAUUGAUUAUUUUAAUCCGUGUGUUUAAUAAUGAACUCAUUGAAAAAUUUGCACUUAAAAGAAUAUAAUUACUCAAAAGAAUGUUUAUGUAGUAUAGCAAAGAAUUAACUGCUCAUGUUUGAUAUUUAUAGAUUUUAUAAAAUUUGUUUCAAGUUUGGAUGCAAUAUUCAUUGAUUUUGUUAAUAUUAAGAUAAAUUUUGCCUGAUAAAUAGUGGUUGUAUAGUAAAUGCUAACUUUACUCUUUGCUUUGUACAAUUUUUCUUAUUUUUGUGUUAGACCUUUCCAUUCCCUUGUGAUUUAAUUGUUUCUCUUGUAGGUAUAUAUUUUAAAAUCUAAUUUGAAAGGUAUGUGAUUUCUGAUAAAUGUAAUCAAAGUAUAAAGUUUUAUUUAAAAUUUAAUUCUCCAUUGUAUCAAGACAUAUGUAUGUUUUGUAUUCUUUUAUUUGUUACAAUUACAAUUGCAUAUGCAAUUUAUUUUGAGUUAUACAUAUCCAUACUUUUCACCAGUUCCUGCUUUUAUGUUGUUCUUUGUCUCAGUUUCAAUUUCUACCUGCUGAAGCACAUUAUUUAAAAUAUUUUCUUCUCUUGUAAUCUGAAAGUGUUAAUGUACUCUAAUUUCUAAUAAACUGCAUUUAUUCUGUGUUGUGAUACCUGAUCUCAGUUCAUCUAUGUUUAAUGUAACCUCUUCUCCAGACUUUUUCUCUCUCUUUUCCAGGAAUUCUAACUAUUCUGUACCUAUAAGCCUCUAAUUCUCCCGUUUUUGUUUAGCCAUUUACAUGUUGUAUCUGUUUAUUUCUUCAGCUGUCUCUGGUCUACUGUUAAUUCUUGAUUUUACAUGCAUAUCUUUCAAUAUAGAAAUUCCACUCAGUUAUUUUUAAAAUCUUCUAGUCUUUUUUAAGUUGAAUAUUCUCUUACGGUAAUUUAUUGAUUAUAAUAAUUAUAAAUAUAACACAUUGCAUAUUGUGUUUGCAGCAUUUGUGAAAUCGGUAGGUAUGGUAACUUCAUCAGUUCAAAAAAUACUUUUAAUCCCUUAUUAUGUAUCCAUUACCGUUCUAGGCAUUGGAAUAAGAGAUAUUAACACAGUAGUCAAAAAAUUUCCCUCAUGAAUUUGACAGUUGAGGAAAGACUUUUCUUCUGCUUCUCUUAUGGGAAUUACUGUCAUUGAAUCUGGUGAAACCUGGCUGAAGACAUUUCCUUCUUAAAGGUGUGCUGGAGCUGUAAAAUAAAUUGGGCUAUUGCUGAGGUCCAGCCCUGGCAGGUCCAGGAAUACCCAAGGGAUGAGUGGUGUCGGCGAGGAAGAAGACAGACACACGCAGAAGGUUGCAUAGAAGAGAUCAUUCACGUGCUUGAAAAGCUCCUACCCGGGUGCAUGCAUGGAUAGCCCUGCCAGCUCGAUACCUGGGUGAGAGAGAGGUGGUUCACAGCUGCAGUGGAGCUGUGAAUCUACCCAUGGGAAGCUCUCUCUUUGCCUGUGGGAAAGCCUGAAUACCUGGCUUCUCUUUUGGCUGAGAUAAGGCCAGUUGGACUUAUGAUGGACUGUUUACAAUUUAGAAUAAGGAACUUUGUGCUGAGGUGUCUCUCUGGCCCCAGUGUACGCCUGUAUUCCUCUGCUGUUGCCUUGCAUCCAAAUAAAAGCCUUCUGUGAGUUGACUCAGGUGACUCCUUUCAAACAUCUAAACUGCAGAAUUAUUUGUACCUCCCUUCAAUUCAUCACUGACACAUCACUUGCUCAACAGGGCCCACUCAGUCAGCCAUAUUUAAAAUUGCUCCCCAGUUCCUCCUUCUCUCAUCUUUUCCAUAUAAUGAAUUACCUUUCAGCACACUUUA